AGAUGCGGAUCAGGAUCCUGGAUUCGUACUGGAAAAAAUUGGAUCUGGAGCCAAAUCAGGAUCUGGAUCCAGAUCCAGUUGGAAGCAGGACUUAAAGAUACAACAGAAGUUGCAUUCUCAAGGAUUUACUGCAGGUGUAAGUUGGAGGAAGAUUAAAGAAGGCUAAUACUUUAGCGCCAGGAUGAUCUCAAUCUUGCACAUUCAACUUGGAGAUCCAAGAGGGAGAGCAGAGGCUGUGGAGAACAGGGAAAAUGUCAUUUUGAUAAAAAAUUAGUAUUCAGAUUACAUGUUAAUCAUAAGGCCAGCCAGGUCUUAAGCUACUUAUUUAUUUUUCCGUUUAAAGUUGGUUCAUAUAUAUAUAUAUGUGCAGUUAUUUUUUAAAAUGUAAAUCUCACUGUUAUGAAAAUUUAAAAUUUGCAUCUAAACAGAGGUUGAAAAAAUCGCAAUAACUUUAAACCUACAAAUGAAAUUGCUGUAUACUAGCAGAAUUUAUAUUUUCAGAGUUGUGGUUUCUUUA